GUUGUGUCGGGCGCCGUUUCGGGCGGAGGAGGGUUCGCGUUUUCGGUGGAGGGGGUGCUGGGGCGCGGCUGUUGCGGUGGCUGGUGAGGGGUCCUUCGGCUCUGUCCGGGCUCUGUGCUGGGUGGGUGAAGAGAGGCGGGUAUGUUUUUUUUCUCGGCUGGAGGUUUUGUCUCAGGUGUAGCCCUGGAAUUCGGGCUCGGCGGCCCGGUCGAGCUGCUGAGUGAGCCAUGGCUGGAAGCUCAGCGGGGCUGUGGAGACUUGAAGGGGUCUGUGAGGGCGAAACGCGCGGAGCGGGCGGGUCGGGAAGGGUAUACUGGCUUCGUCUUACAUCGACAGAUGCAAUACGGCUCCGUUCACGCCUUUCCUCUCGGAAGAGAUGCUAGCUUCUGCGCUCGGGGCCAAUUUGGACUCUUUCUUACUGUGUUUUCUUUGGGUUUUUUUUGACUGGGUCUGUCUGCAGAUUGAUCUCCUGUGCCAUGCCUGCUGCUUCUGGCUUGCAGCAGUAUCCUGUUCGCGUUUUGCUGUUCGGAAGGUGGAUAAGUGAGAGGGCAUGGCUUCCUCUUUUUAGAAUGGAAGGCAGGUGGGGGGGGGUGAAGGAGAGGUAAUCGGUGAUCCAGUCCUGGAUCACUUAUUUUAAUGUGCAGUCUGUGGUAUUAAGUUUUAAUUUUCAUUUUCAGGCUGGCGUUUAAGUCGUUUCUGAAACUCCUCCAAGUGUUUGUCAUUUAAAAAAAUUAAGUAGUUGAUAACUUCUAGUGUAUUAAUGUGCAAAUGCUGUGAAAUAACAGCCUUUGUGCGUUUCCCAUUCUUUAUAUGAGACAGAAGUUGUCAGUGUUAAAUUUCAGAAUAGACGUUCUUUACCACAUAAUUGAUAAGCCUGUUUACUAAUUACAGACCUGCAAUUUAGUCUGAAAUUAUUGUGCUGGGAUUGGAGAAACAGGACAACUUUAUUUCUAUUUGUCAAGACAGUAAGCUUUUAACAUUUCUAAGACUAGAAUAUUACAGAUUUCAGCAGUUUUUUGUGUUUGGUUUUCCUUAAGUUAAUGUACUGGAGAAAAAAACCCAACUAUAACUCCUGAAUAUACAUUAGUGUCUUAUUGCUUCUUUCACUUUCACUCCUUUAUUGUACACUUUAAAGCAAUGUUUAUAUAACUUUUUGUUCACUCUGCUGAAUUGAAUGUGCUCUGAAGUAGUGCUCUUUUUUCCAGUAUACGUGCUACAACUUGCUUGUUUUUUAAUGCUCAUACUUCAAACACAUGGAUCCUGAUCGGAAACAAAAUGAAAAGUCAUCAGAUGAAAUAGUUUUAAAAAUGCCAGAUUUCAUAUUUUUGUUCACGCUACUGUAAAGUAAGAACUAGAAAAAUACACAGCAAAUGCGUGAGUUCCAUGAGUGUUCUGUUUUGCCAGAAAUCUCACUUUCUGCCUUUUUUCCACAUUUGCGUAAGAAAUGUUUCACAACUGGUCUCACUAAAUCAGUGGAAUGAGAGCAGAAGGUGUCUAGUUAGUGCUUUAGAGCUGAGAGUUCAAGUUAGCAAGAGGGUUUGUAAUCUCUUUAAAAUGUGUAAGAACAGAAAUAGCUUCAUGUUUUUUAAACCAAAAAGCAACAGCUCCCUAGCUGCCCCCAAAACUCAAUUUGAAACUGAAAGAUUGUGACAUAGUUCCAUGUAGAACCUCUAGUUUUAACUAAAUCCAUUUGAUAUGUGCAGGAAAACAGUUCUUCAGUACCUGAUCAUGCCUUCAGUGAGGCGUUAUUAGCUUAACCAAGUAACUAUGCAUACACUAAGUUUUCUGUGAGAGCAGUCAUGUUCGUUCUCUUUGCUUAAGUGCUGUCUGAACACGCCUGUGCAGUUUAUUUUGAGAGAAUGGGGACAGCUAUUGCGCAGUAUUUCAUCACUUGGCUUUCUGCGCUACUAUUUUGUGAUAUUGUAGCAGUUGGCUCACAAGAACCCUGAAGCAUUCAGUAUAGAGUGGAGUGGGCCAUAGGGUGCCUUCUCUGCUUUUAGAGAAAAGUGCGAUGUAGGAAAAUGGAUUGAACUGCUUCUAUGAAGACAUUUGUGUUAUAACUGCACUGCAAAAAGAAAUGUACUGAAGAGGUUAUUGAAUUUGUGUCUGCUAAGAGUAAAGUAGUGGUUUUUUAGAAAAUUAAACUGGCAUUCUAUCUUUUAAUAAGUUGGAUAGUUGUUGGGUUCUGUAGAGCAUUUGUUUCUUGGAAAUAACUGUUGAUUUGCAUGCUUACCAUAACACAAUUGUUGAAAAGUUUAUUGUUGUGAAAUCUAAUCAAUAGGAGUACAAGAGGUUUUCUUAAGUUUUUUUUGUUUCUAUUUCUGAGUAUAAAACUUAUUUGCAGUCUGAGAAUAGUAAAAUGCAGAUUACGUCUUGGGUUUUCUUCAGGUUUGUGAGUGAGUGUUGUGAAAGCUACUCAUAGUUUAGCCAUUAAGUAUAACAGCCAUCAAUGUUUCAUGAGUUUAUGCAAGGAUAGUGCUAUGCUGUCUUUUUCACUUUGAGAAAUGGACAAAAAAAAAAUUCCUGUGUCUUCAAGAAAGAAAACGUAAAACCUGUAGUCCUAAAAUAUUUUAAUCUGCGGGAAAGCCAAAGACCACAGUGUAACUCUCAAUUGUUUAGAAGAAUCUUGUGGAAUCAUAAGGUGUUCUUGUUAAGAGAGGGCCAUAAAUUCUUGAAAUUCUCAUAACACUUCAUCUUUGAAGAAUAGUUGAAUUUGACUUUCUUACACUUAACUAUAAAGUAUUCCUUCUGAAACCUAAUACUUUAAAUGAUAACUUAUAUCAGUUGUUUAGUGUCCUCUUUAUUUUGCUAGAAAACAUGCUUGUCAGUAAGGUCCUUCUAAGCAAGGUAUGAUGUAGCAAAUGCAAUCACGUCAUUGCCUAAUAAGUUACAAAGACAACAUAAGAGGAAGAAGUUUUAGAACCUAUAGUAAGGCUUAAGUAAAAUAAUCUUCAUAGCCCUAGAGUAAGAAGGCUUGACAUAUUUGGUCUGGUAUCUAAUUUUUAACAAAGAAAAUACCUGUUUUCUCAUUUCUGUCUCUUCUGAAUAUUUUGCAUAGGAUACUUCCAAGAGGUUGCCACAUCAAGUUAGAGAGAGUACAGCAGGCAAACAGAUACCUAGAUACCUGAAGAUGCAUAGAAAAAGGUGUGUAAGGAAAAAAGAAUUCUUGCCAAGUAAGAGCUUGGUUACCAGGGCUGGCAGCAGAAGCCCACAGCCUUGGAUGCACUGAGAAUUUUUAAAACCUGGAGCUACUUUCUAUAUAGUUACUCUUUAAUUAUUCAGUUAUAAGGUGGGGGGUUUUUUGAGUCUUUAGUAGCAAAUGCUUUUCUUUGUCAGAAUGCAUGUCUUGUUUAUUAAAUGUUACCUAAUAAAUUUCUAUAACUUUAAUUACAGGGAAAGAGCAAAAUGUAUAAUGUAAACUUCACAAAUGUAUGUGCUUGUGCCAUAAUAUCUAAAAUAUCAUUGUAAUGUGGACUAAAAAUAACUGUAUAUUUUGUUAGUGCUACUUUACUUGGUGUUUUAAAAAAUUGCUGUUGACAACCUUGUAAUAAAGUAAGACUAACUGGGCACUUCUGUUCAGUCAGAUAAGGCCUUACCUACUCAAGAAUAUAUAAGCCAAAAAGUAAUGUAGCAUCCUCCUUUAAUAAUUUAUUAGCUCUACAUACUGAAUGUUCACAGGAAUAAAAGUCUCUUAACAGCAGCAUUAGAGUUGCAAAAAAUCUUCUGGUGAUGGGCCAGUCAUUGAAAUGUUAACUUGAAAUUUCAUCUUUUAAGCUAAAUUUGCAAUGCUGGAAGAAUAUAAAUAUCCUCGCAUUUAAUGUAGAUAGUGAACCUGGGUCAUGGGAAGCAGAGAUAAAGCUUUUCUUGUUAUGUACAAACACAGAAAGCUUCAGCCUUGCAAUUUAAAAUCUGAAGUUGAGACUUCUACUGAAAUAUUGAAAAGUAGCUGGCAGUCCUUGUAGUUAAGAGACUCAUAAAGAUCAUCAGUAGUACCUAUUUUGUCAUUACAGUAAAAAAAAUUUGAUAUUUCAAGGAGACAGUCUAGACAGACUUGACUUUUGCUGCCCUAAGGGUGAGGACAAAACUUUCCAGAUCAAAGUAUCCAUGUAAUAUGCAUGCCACCAUCAUCCUGGAGCACUGCCCUUGUUCCUUAGUGGGACAGAGUAGAGCUUGCUGUCUGUCUCUAGGCCCUCUAGAAGGGUUUAUUCCUAAAUGGAUGGGUGCAAGCUAACAGAGACCUCAAAAUUUCAUUUUCUAACUUCAGAGGAAUUAAAUUCUAUGCAACCUACUUAAUUUUUGAAGCUUUAGCCAUAAUCACCUAGCCUUGUUACAAAUGUGAAAUGUGCACAUUAUUAGGAAGAACUGGAAUUUCUUUAGUAAGGAGCAGUCAUCAGAAAUUGUAAGCAUCCAAAAAUAUUUCUGCUAGGAUGCAUCACAUGAUUUUUUGCUGCCUUUGGCAUUAUUGAGCCUUCACAGCUAUUGUAAAUAACCUCUUGACAAAAGGCUAUUCCCACAUCUUUUCCUAAAUGAGUUCUAGUAUUAGAAGUAUGAGAUGACCAGUAUUGCUUUUUUUUUGAGAACAGAAUGAAUUCAACCCCUGCUCUUUAACUACUACAGUUCUUUUGUUCUUGAUUCCUUUGUUACAGCUGUGCACUAGACACAUUGUUGAAGUGUACAAUGUUCAGCAUAUGCUGUGAGUGCAAUUAAUUUUAAAGCACCUUCCUGCAUGAUUUCCUUCCUUUUUUUUUUUUCUUUAAUUGUGAAGUCAGAGUGUUCCUGAAGCUUAUUAUAGUGUCACAGAAAGGGUGGGGAGAAAGAAGAAAGUCCUUACAUCUUCAGCCCAUACACAGGGAUGAUGUAAGACAGAUU